rnacentral:rRNA from 1 species
AUGAACGCUGGCGGCGUGCCUAACACAUGCAAGUUGAGCGAGAAAUCACUUAAAGAAGCUUCGGUAGACUUAAGAGAUGGAGAGCAGCGGACGGGUGAGUAACGCGUGGGAAACCUGCCCUUGACAGGAGGAUAGCCGAGAGAAAUUUCGAUUAAUACUUCAUAAAGCAGAGCAUUCGCAUGGAUGAACUGCCAAAGAAUUAUCGGUCAAGGAUGGUCCCGCGUCUGAUUAGCUGGUUGGUAAGGUAGCGGCUUACCAAGGCGACGAUCAGUAGCCGGCCUGAGAGGGUGAACGGCCACAUUGGGAACUGAGACACGGUCCAGACUCCUACGGGGAGGCAGCAGUGGGGAAUAUGCACAAUGGGCGAAAGCCUGAUGCAGCAACGCCGGCGUGAAGGAAGAAGGCUUUGAGUCGUAACUUCUGUCCAAAGGGAAGAAUAAUGACGGUACCUUUGAAGAAAGCCCCGGCUAACUACGUGCCAGACAGACCGCGGUAAUACGUAGGGGGACGAGACGUUAUCCGGAAUUACUGGGCGUAAAGAGUAUGUAGGUGGUUAAGUAAGACGUAGGGUUUAAGGACGACAGCCCAACUGUCGUAUGCCCCGCGAACCGUUUAACUUGAGUACAGGAGGGGAAGGCGGAAUUCCUAGUGUAGACGGUGAAAUGCGUAGAUAUUAGGAGGAAACACCGUGGGCGAAGGACGGGCCUUCCUGGGAACUGUAAACUGAACACUGAAGAAUAACGAAAAGACGUUGGGGGUAAGCCAAAACAGGAAUUAAAAUAACCCUGGGUAGUUCCACGCCGUAAAACGAUGAGACACUAGGGUGUCCGGCUCCCAGAGUUCGGUGCCGGAGCAACCCCUUAAAGUGCUCCGCCUGGGGAGUACCCCCGCCAGUGUGAAAAUCCAAGGAAUUGACGGGGACCCCCACCCAGCCCCGAGCCCUGUGGG